AUUGAACGCUGGCGGCAGGCCUAACACUUGCAAGUCGAACGAGUGGCGGACGGGUGAGUAAUGUCUGGGAAACUGCCAGAUGGAGGGGGAUAACUACUGGAAACGGUAGCUAAUACCGCAUACCAUCGGAUGAGCCCAGCUGGGUUUAGCGGGUAGGUGGGGUAACUGCUAACCUAGGCGACAAUCCCUAGCUGGUCUGAGAGGAUGACAAGCCACGUGGGAACUGAGACACGGCCCAGACGCCUACGGGAGGCAGCAGUGGGGAAUAUUGCACAAUGGGCGAAAGCCUGAUACAGCUAUGCCGCGGGUAUGAAGAAGGCCUUCGGGUUGUAAAGUACUUUCAGCGGGGAGGCGUUACCCGCAGAAGAAGCACCGGCUAACUCCGUGCCAGCAGCCGCGGUAAUUC
rnacentral:rRNA from 1 species